AUUGAACGCUGGCGGAAUGCUUUACACAUGCAAGUCGAGCGGCAGCGCGGGGGCAACCCUGGCGGCGAGUGGCGAACGGGUGAGUAAUGCAUCGGAACGUAUCCUGUAAUGGGGGAUAACGUAGCGAAAGUUACGCUAAUACCGCAUACGCUCGAGAGAGGAAAGUGGGGGAUCGCAAGACCUCACGUUAUAGGAGCGGCCGAUGUCCGAUUAGCUAGUUGGUGGGGUAAAGGCCUACCAAGGCGACGAUCGGUAGCUGGUCUGAGAGGAUGAUCAGCCACACUGGGACUGAGACACGGCCCAGACUCCUACGGGAGGCAGCAGUAGGGAAUCUUCCGCAAUGGGCGCAAGCCUGACGGAGCGACGCCGCGUGAGUGAUGAAGGCCUUCGGUCGUAAAGCUCUGUUCUUGAGGACGAAGUAAGCCAGGGAGUGGAAAGCCCUGGUGAUGACUGUACUCAAGGAGAAAGCGUCCGGCUAACUACGUGCC
rnacentral:rRNA from 1 species